rnacentral:rRNA from 1 species
AACGAACGCUGGCGGCAUGCCUAACACAUGCAAGUCGAACGAGACCUUCGGGUCUAGUGGCGCACGGGUGCGUAACGCGUGGGAAUCUGCCCUUGGGUUCGGAAUAACUUCGGGAAACUGAAGCUAAUACCGGAUGAUGACGUAAGUCCAAAGAUUUAUCGCCCAAGGAUGAGCCCGCGUAGGAUUAGCUAGUUGGUGAGGUAAAGGCUCACCAAGGCGACGAUCCUUAGCUGGUCUGAGAGGAUGAUCAGCCACACUGGGACUGAGACACGGCCCAGACUCCUACGGGAGGCAGCAGUGGGGAAUAUUGGACAAUGGGCGAAAGCCUGAUCCAGCAAUGCCGCGUGAGUGAUGAAGGCCUUAGGGUUGUAAAGCUCUUUUUCAGGGAGGAAAAAAUGACGUGUACCUGAAGAAUAAGCAUCGGCUAACUCCGUGCCAGCAGCCGCGGUAAUGUGACUACUG